AUAUUUAUAGAAUUAGAAAGAAAUGGAAAAUGUUCCCAAACACACAUUUUUACAGAAUUCCGUUUUAACUCACCACAAACUGAUUCAUCAGGUAGAAAUCAGUUUCCUGCUUCGUUGCCCUGACAACAGUGACGUCACGCCCCCUACCUGUUCCUCAGGUUAGUUGAGUUUUACCUGGUGAGUCCUGGUGUCGCAGCUUGUUUUCUCCGUGUGAAGGUGUUUCAGAGUGACGGCAGCCUGCAGACACAGAGGACCAGUGACGGAGAAGCAGCCCAGGAUUUUCUAUGUUUCUGCUCAAACCCAGACAGCAGAGAUCUGUACUGGUGGGAAGAAGCUGAGUGGAGUCCUGACUGGUUCCAGGAAACAGAUCACCUGUCUGAGCGUCCAGGAGUGGACUGGAAACUUUCUUCUUCUUCUUCAGCGCUUUGAGUAAAGUGUGAAGGUAGAAAGUGUGUGUGAGCUGCUGUGAGUUGAGCAGCAUGGAUGAGUGUGAGGACAGAGAGGAGGGAGUCCCUCCCUCUAAAAGCUCUCUGUGUGGGGAACAGGAGAACCAGAGCAAAGCUCAGAGGUGAGACCAGCAUCUCUAACUGUCCAGGACUCUGGUGCAUGUCAGAGCUCAGCAUCACAUCACUGCUGCAUCAUUAU